CCUACGGGAGGCAGCAGUAGGGAAUAUUGCUCAAUGGGGGAAACCCUGAAGCAGCAACGCCGCGUGGAGGAUGAAGGUUUUCGGAUUGUAAACUCCUUUUGUUAGAGAAGAUAAUGACGGUAUCUAACGAAUAAGCACCGGCUAACUCCGUGCCAGCAGCCGCGGUAAUACGGAGGGUGCAAGCGUUACUCGGAAUCUCUGGGCGUAAAGAGCGCGUAGGCGGGAUAGCAAGGCAGAUGUGAAAUGCUAUGGCUUAAACAGAGAACUGCAGUUGAAACUGUUAUUCUAGAGUAUGGGAGAGGUAGGUGGAAUGCUUGGUGUAGGGGUAAAAUGCGUAGAGAUCAAGAGGAAUACUCAUUGCGAAGGCGACCUGCUAGAACAUAACUGACGCUGAUGCGCGAAAGCGUGGGGAGCAAACAGGAUUAGAUACCCCAGUAGUC
rnacentral:rRNA from 1 species